UCUGUGGCCAUUGCCACUCACCUGGGAGCUCAGGUGUUGGGGGCUGAGCAGCAGUGCUCCAGCGCGGAGCCUCCACGUGCUGUCCUCGUACUUCCUUCGUGGGCGCCGCUGCUCCCCUGGGCGCCUCAGCCCAACUCCUCUGCUGACAGCCAGCUGCUGUCUCUGCCUGGCUUUUUUGUUGUUGGUCGUCCUGGAGAUCCAAGUGUCAAAUUACCGUCGCGAGGGGGAGCCCGAGAAAGCCCUGCUUGGGAACUUGUCCUCCAACUUCAUGUUGUCCCGGUGCCUCACCUCUGCCCUGAGAGGGCUGCUCGGGGACAAGACAAGCUCCCUCUCUCCUCCUCCUUCCUCCUUCCUCCUUCCUCCUCCUCUCCCUCUCCCCCACUCCCACGCCGUGGGCUGGGCCUGGGCUGGGAGCUGAAGAAAGAAGUCCGCUCUCGCCUCCCUGGCCAGGAGGACCCUGGGGAGGCUCUACCUGAGCCUGUGGAGGGGAGUCCUGUAGCGCUCUCAGGUCUGGGGCACCCACCCUGCCCUCAGGAAGGCCACCCCUUCUGUCCCUCUGGCCACUCCCUGGCUGGUCCCUCCCUCUGGCCUCUCUCAGGAACAACAGUAAACAGUGGGGAGCUGGUGGCCCUCCCAGGCCGAGCAGGAGGCUUUGCAGCCAGUCCCUGGGGAGGCCCUUGUGCCGCUCAGCAUCUGAAGGCGUCUUGGGGGAGAACUUGGAAUCCUGAGUGACCCGGGAGUGGCCUGCGCGCCCGGCAAGGCGCCUCAUGUUCCUCGUGAGGUGCCGCCAUGCUGCCAUUGCCAAGUACUUCGGGGAUGCACUGCCUGCCUGCGCCAAAGGCUGCGACCACUGCCAGAACCCCACGGCCGUGCGGAGGCAGCUGGAGGCCUUGGAGCGCAGCAGCAGCUGGAGCAAGACCUGCAUCGGGCCCUCCCAGGGGAAUGGCUUUGAUCCCGAGCUGUACGAGGGAGGCCGCAAGGGCUACGGGGGCUUCAGCAGGUACGAUGAAGGUUCUGGAGGCAGCGGGGAUGAAGGCAGAGAUGAGGCCCACAAGCGGGAGUGGAACCUCUUCUAUCAGAAGCAGAUGCAGCUGCGCAAGGCCAAAGACCCCAAGAUAGAAGAAUUUGUACCCCCAGAUGAGAACUGUCCCCUGAAAGAGGCUUCUAGCAGGAGGAUCCCCAGGCUGACUGUGAAGGCACGGGAGCACUGCCUGGGGCUUCUGGAGGAGGCACUGAGCAGUAACCGCCAGUCAACACGUACCACAGAUGAAGCUGACCUCCGGGCCAAGGCUGUGGAGCUGGAACAUGAGACAUUCCGGAACGCCAAGGUGGCCAACCUCUACAAGGCCAGCGUGCUGAAGAAGGUGGCCGAUAUCCACAGAGCCUCCAAGGAUGGGCAGCCCUAUGAUGUGGGAGGCAGUACCAAGAGCUGCAGUGCCCAAGCUGAGCCCCCGGAGCCCAAUGAGUAUGACAUCCCACCAGCCUCCCAUGUGUACUCGCUCAAACCCAAGCGGGUGGGAGCUGGUUUCCCCAAAGGCUCCUGCCCGUUCCAGACGGCCACGAAACUGAUGGAGACAACUCGGAUCAGGGAGCAAGCCCCCCAGCCCGAGCGGGGAGGCGAGCACGAGCCCCCGUGCCGGCCCUGUGGCCUCCUGGAUGAGGACGGGAGUGAGCCCCUCCCUGGGCCCAGAGGGGAGGUCCCUGGAGGCAGCGCUCACUAUGGGGAGCCCUCCCCUGAGAAGAAGGCAAAAAGUUCCUCUGGGGGCAUUUCCCUUGCCAAGGGCCGGGCUAGCAAGAAACAGCAGCUCCUAGCCGCAGCGGCCCACAAGGAUUCUCAGAGCAUCGCCCGCUUCUGCCAAAGGGUGGAAAGCGCACCUCUGCUGGCAUCAGCCCCAGAGGCAGAAGGUGCCUGCCCCUCCUGUGAGGGGGUUCAGGGACCCCCGAUGGCCCCAGAGAAGUACACAGGGGAGGACGAUGGAGCUGGGGGACAUUCGCCUGCCCCUCCCCAGACUGAGGAGUGCCUCAGGGAGAGGCCAAGCACCUGCCCACCCAGAGACCAGGGCACCCCUGAAGUCCAGCCCACCCCUGCAAAGGACACAUGGAAGGGCAAGAGGCCUCGAUCCCAGCAGGAGAACCCAGAGAGCCAGCCUCAGAAGAGGCCGCGCCCCUCAGCCAAGCCCUCCGUCGUAGCUGAGGUCAAGGGCAGCGUCUCAGCCAGCGAUCAGGGCACCUCGAAUCCCACUGCUCAAGACCCCUUCCAGCUCUCAGCUCCUGGCGUCUCCUUGAAGGAGGCUGCAAAUGUUGUGGUCAAGUGCCUGACCCCUUUCUACAAGGAGGGCAAGUUUGCUUCCAAGGAGUUGUUUAAAGGCUUUGCCCGCCACCUCUCACACUUGCUGACUCAGAAGACCUCUCCUGGAAGGAGCGUGAAAGAAGAGGCCCAGAACCUCAUCAGGCACUUCUUCCAUGGCCGGGCCCGGUGUGAGAGCGAAGCUGACUGGCAUGGCCUGUGUGGCCCCCAGAGAUGACCAACUGCUGGUUGGGCAGGGCCCGCGUUCUCCCCCAGAUUCUAGCAUGGGUCAUCCUGGGCCUCGCCUGCUGAUGCCAGGGCCAUCGUCUUUUCUCAGUCCUUCUCCCUUCCAACCAUACUUGGCUUUGGGGAUGACCCCAGACACCCCCUGAAUCCAGGUCAGAGGUCAGCCCACCUUUCUUUCUGCUUGCAAAGCCUAUAGACCCUUCUCAGAGCGGCCCACAUGGCUGGGUUUUCUGGGACACCUCCAGGACAGAAGGUGGAGGGUGGUGGAGCUGCUGCUGGAAGAAGGGGAAGGAAGAGCGGCCCCUCCCCGAGUUUUAAGUCAGGAUAAGGCCCAUCGUCCAAGGUAUUAGAACCUACUCAGGGGAACCGCAGAUCCUCCACCCACUCCCGCAUCCAUUACGAUGCCAGCUUCCAGCCUUGCCCAGGUCAGAGCUGCGGCAGAGGAGAGGCAGCCAGGCCCUGUUCCUGCUCAGCUCCUGCUCAGGAAGGCCAGGCCUGACUGAGAUGUUUGGGAGAGGAAUAAAGUUGUGUUGUUGUGGCGCAUGCACGCGUGCACACAGCCCUUUUC
rnacentral:sRNA from 1 species